rnacentral:ncRNA from 2 species
GGAGCAGCUUCUGGAGAGACUGUAUUUAUACAGCGCCGAAGGAUUCACAAUCUCAGGCAAAAGGACAGAAUGGUAACG